AAGAUGAAGAUGAAUGGCCUGCACGCAGUGAUGGUGCCUUUCCCUGUGCAAGGCACCAUCAAUCCUCUUAUCAAUUUGGCUCACCUCCUCUCUUCACGAGGGGUUUUCAUCACCUUCGUCAACACGGAGUGGAGUCACAAGUGCAUGGCCAAAGCCGCUCAUAAUGAUGAUGAACUCUCCACUUCCACAUUUAAGUUUCUCACCAUUCCAGAUGGGUUGCCGCCAGAUCAUGGCCGUCUCUCCAAUUCUGCCGAGUAUGCAACGGCAGUGCAAAACCUUGGCCCCGUCUUGGAGUAUCAUUUGCUCCGCAGCUUAUCUGACGAAACUCCUCCGUACACUUGCAUUAUAACAGAAACUUUUAUGUCUUGCACUUAUGAAGUGGCCAACAAGAUGGGAUUGCCCCGAGUCAUCUUUUGGACAAUGUGCGCCGCCUCUUCCAUUGCUCAGUGCAACGCCAACCUUCUCCUCUCCAAUGGACAUAUUCCUGUCAAAGUGGAGGAAUCGAAGAGGGCAGACAAAGUGAUUACUUGUUUGCCAGGUAAUCUUCCGCCUUUGUUGCCGACCGAUCGGAUACAUCAGACGUUUUAUUUCAGCACUGUCUCCGUGAGUCCCAAUUUCAAAGUAAGGGAGAUUAUGUGCUGGUCAACACGUUCGAUGAGCUGGAGGCUCCCGACACGGUAAGCGCCCUGUCCUGUAAUGGCUGCCCUGCUUUGGCUGUAGGUCCUGUAUUUCUUCCCAAUUUCCUAGAAGGAAGAGAUAUAAACGGGUGGGCAAGUCUGUUGGAGCAGGACGAGAGCUGUCUUAAAUGGCUUGAUGCCCAUCACCCAACUUCUGUGAUAUACGUUUCCUUCGGCAGCAUCGCCGUCAAAUCAAACGAGCAGCUGGAGGAGUUGGCAAGGGGGUUAGAGAAGAGCGAGCACCCCUUUCUGUGGGUUCUGAGAAUGGAUAUUGCGAGAGGCAAGCCUGCAACUCUGCCGGAGGGUUUUGAAGAGAGGACAAAAGAUCGGGGACUUAUUGUGAAAUGGGCGCCUCAGGUGAGGGUUUUGAGUCACCCUUCGGUAGGAGGGUUUCUCACCCACUGCGGGUGGAACUCGUGUUUGGAAAGCAUGAGCAUGGGAAUUCCAAUGCUUGGAUGGCCCUAUUUCUGUGAUCAGUUUCUUGAUUGCCGCUUCUGCAAGGAUGUGUGGAAGAUUGGCAUUGAUUUGAAAGGCGUGGACGUUGAUGAAAAUGUGGUAGUUACGAGGGAGGAGAUAGAGAAAGGCGUGAGGAGACUGAUGGAGGGUCCAAAAGCGCGGGAGCUUAGAAAAAGAGGAAUGGAGUUGAAGGAGGCUGCAUUUAAAGCGGUUGCGCAGGGAGGUUCUUCUUUUACCAAUUUGAACAGGUUUAUUCAUGAUAUGGCACAAGUUUCCAAAUCGGCUUCUGUUUAAAGGCAUUUCGUCCCUCAUCGAUCACGAGAGUUGGAAACAAGCUUGCAUCAAGGAUACACAUGGGAGAAUGAUUCCAAAUAUUAGGAGCAAGACACCGGUGCUUAAGGCAUACAUAAGGAUGCAUUAUGAAAAGAAUUAGAAGAGUUACAAAAGGUAAAGAACUCAUA